rnacentral:rRNA from 1 species
AUGUCUGGAAUCCUGAAGAGAUUUAGGAGUGCUCGAAAGAGAGCCAGAACACAGGUGCUGCAUGGCCGUCGUCAGCUCGUGUCGUGAGAUGUUGGGUUAAGUCCCGCAGCGAGCGCAACCCUUAUCAUUAGUUGCUACGCAAGGGCACUCUAAUGAGACUGCCGGUGACAAACCGGAGGAAAGGUGGGGAUGACGUCAGGUCAUCAUGGCCCUUAUGGGUAGGGCUACACACGUCAUACAAUGGCCGGUACAGAGGGCUGCCAACCCGCGAGGGGGAGCUAAUCUCAGAAAACCGGUCGUAGUCCGGAUCGCAGUCUGCAACUCGACUGCGUGAAGUCGGAAUCGCUAGUAAUCGCGGAUCAGCUUGCCGCGGUGAAUACGUUCCCGGGUCUU